CACGUAGGGUGCGAGCGUUGUCCGGAAUUAUUGGGCGUAAAGAGCUCGUAGGCGGUGUGUCGCGUCGGCCGUGAAAACCUGCAGCUUAACUGUGGGCUUGCGGUCGAUACGGGCAUCACUGGAGUUCGGCAGGGGAGACUGGAAUUCCUGGUGUAGCGGUGAAAUGCGCAGAUAUCAGGAGGAACACCGGUGGCGAAGGCGGGUCUCUGGGCCGAUACUGACGCUGAGGAGCGAAAGCGUGGGGAGCGAACAGGAU
rnacentral:rRNA from 1 species